UAGCAGCGCCGCGAGGCGUGGAGCGGACCAGUACUAAUCGGUCGAGGACUUAACCAAG
rnacentral:rRNA from 1 species